rnacentral:tRNA from 1 species
GCAGGUAUAGCUCAGUGGUAGAGCGCAUGCUUUGCAUGCACACACAAGGGUUCAAUCCCCAGUACCUUCA